AACGAACGCUGGCGGCAUGCCUAACACAUGCAAGUCGAACGAGACCUUCGGGUAUAGUGGCGCACGGGUGCGUAACGCGUGGGAACCUGCCCUUAGGUUCGGAAUAACUCCCCGAAAGGGGUGCUAAUACCGGAUAAUGUCUUCGGACCAAAGAUUUAUCGCCGUUGGAUGGGGCCGCGUUGGAUUAGCUAGUUGGUAGGGUAAAAGCCUACCAAGGCGACGAUCAAUAGCUGGUCUGAGAGGAUGAUCAGCCACACUGGGACUGAGACACGGCCCAGACUCCUACGGGAGGCAGCAGUGGGGAAUAUUGGACAAUGGGCGAAAGCCUGAUCCAGCAAUGCCGCGUGAGUGAUGAAGGCCGUAGGGUUGUAAAGCUCUUUUACCCGGGAUGAUAAUGACAGUACCGGGAGAAUAAGCUCCGGCUAACUCCGUG
rnacentral:rRNA from 1 species